rnacentral:lncRNA from 1 species
CACUGCCAAUUAGAAUGCAUUUGUAGUAGAAAUGCUAAGUCAGGGCUUGACCCAGUGAUUGAGCACCUGGUGGGAAGGCAGGGCCAACCCAGGAGAGCUCAGGUGUAAGGAAUACAGCUGAGGGACCAGAACGGGUGGAGCCAGGAUGCACUCCUUCCCAGACCUCAUUUAAGGGUUGGCAGUGAAGACAAGUGUCCAGAACAACUGCAUACCCCAGGGGGCUUUGUGUUCAGAGAGGAGAUAUAACUUCUGGUAACAUCACCUGAUGUCCCUUUUUUCCUUCAGCUCUCCUCCCUGCUGCUCGACCCAACUGCGUGUCUCACUUCAAAAUUAUGACUUGAGAUCUGGAUCCUGUUCCCAGCUUUGGUGUUGCAAUUUCCUGUUCCACCCAUUCCUUCCAAUAUGCAGGGCUAUUGGAAAAACACUUCAGACAGAAAUAUUUUAUCUUGCAUCUGGCUCAGCUGCACAAAGAUUCACAAGAGUAACAGGACUUUUGCAUAAUGAAAUGGAUGGGGAAAGCCAGGUGCCGGGAAGAAGGAUGAGAAGAUCUGAAGGUGAAUAUUCUGCUGGUGGUGACACUGAACUUAAAGCAAGGAGACUGGCUAAUGGAAAUGAUUAUGGAAGUGGAAGUGACAGCUGCUGAAGUGGAAGGGAAAACUGAAGAUUUAAAGUGCCGAAAAUAUGCAGAAUCCUGGAUUCACAGAAGUCUUCCAGUUAUGUUGAAUGUGGCCACGUCUUGUGGUGCUCUAAUGAUGCUGAUGUCUGAAUGCUGAAGUAUUGUGGAACUUGCAUAAACAUCAAUAUGAGAAUAUACUGAACUAUUAAAACAAAGUCCAAACUUCACGGCCUCAUAGCCUGGGUUGUGCACAUAGCUUACAAAUCCUUGCUCCCUGAACCACUCUCCUACAGUCUAUGAAGAUGGUGAAGGAUCUGGAGGGCAAGGCACAAGAGGAGCAGCUGAGAUCCCUGGGUUUGCUCAGCCCAGAGCAGAGGAACUGAGGGGAGGCCUCAUGGCAACUGCAGCUCCUCACAGAAAGUGGAGGGGCAGCGCUGAGCUCUGCUCUCUGUGGCCGCAACAGGGCCCGAGGGAACGGCAUGGAGCUGUGUCAGGUGAGGGGCAGCUGGGGGUUAGGAAAAGGUUCUGCACCAGAGGGCAGUGGGCAUGGAACAGGCUGCCCAGGGCAGUGGUCACAACCCCACGCUGCAGAGUUCAGUGUUUGAACAAUGCUCUCAGACAUCAUGGGGUUUGAAUUUUGGUUUGUCCUGUGUGGAUCCAAGAAUGGG